UCUAGAUGAGACUUCCCAUCAUUUUAAAUGAGUAAGAUCCCUCAGAGACGAUGAGGUUGAUAGGUUCGAGGUGGAAGCGUGGUGACACGUGUAGCUGACGAAUACUAAUCGAUCGAGGACUUAACUAAAAU
rnacentral:rRNA from 1 species